rnacentral:rRNA from 2 species
GGGAUAACAGGCUUAUCUCCCCCAAGAGUCCACAUCGACGGGGAGGUUUGGCACCUCGAUGUCGGCUCAUCGCAUCCUGGGGCUGUAGUCGGUCCCAAGGGUUGGGCUGUUCGCCCAUUAAAGCGGUACGCGAGCUGGGUUCAGAACGUCGUGAGACAGUUCGGUCCCUAUCCGUCGUGGGCGCAGGAAAUUUGAGAGGAGCUGUCCUUAGUACGAGAGGACCGGGAUGGACGCACCGCUGGUGUACCAGUUGUCUUGCCAAAGGCAUCGCUGGGUAGCUAUGUGCGGACGGGAUAAGUGCUGAAAGCAUCUAAGCAUGAAGCCCCCCUCAAGAUGAGAUUUCCCAUAGCGUCAAGCUAGUAAGAUCCCUGAAAGAUGAUCAGGUUGAUAGGUCAGAGGUGGAAGCACGGUGACGUGUGGAGCUGACUGAUACUAAUCGAUCGAGGACUUAACCUAAUU